GCCCGGUAUUCGUCGCAGGAGGUGGAGCAGGUUCGUGGCCGUUAUUGUGGUCUGCCAGGGGGUAGUGGAGCUGUGUGGAAUUUGCCACAGGAAGUGGAGCAGGGCGGCGAUGGUUACUGCGGCCUGUCAGGGAAUGAUGGAGCUACGCGAAAUCUGCCGCAGGAAGUGGAGCAGGGUCGUGGCCAUUUUGGUGGCCUGCCAGGGGGCACGGAUCUGUUGAUCGAAGCUCGGCAGUGGUCGGAGCCCGACCUCUAUAGAGGUCCGGGAGAGGUCCUCCUGGCGGCUGGGGUCGUGGGUGGAGUCUGACUUCCGUGGGAGUCCGGGCAGAACCCUCUCGGAGCUGAAGUUGCGGGCGGAACCCGGCUCUCGUAGGAGUCCGGGCGGAGCUGUGCUGCAGUANN
rnacentral:lncRNA from 1 species